rnacentral:rRNA from 1 species
AUACGUAGGUGGCAAGCGUUGUCCGGAAUUAUUGGGCGUAAAGCGCGCGCAGGCGGUCCUUUAAGUCUGAUGUGAAAGCCCACGGCUCAACCGUGGAGGGGCAUUGGAAACUGGGGGACUUGAGUGCAGAAGAGGAAAGUGGAAUUCCAAGUGUAGCGGUGAAAUGCGUAGAGAUUUGGAGGAACACCAGUGGCGAAGGCGACUUUCUGGUCUGUAACUGACGCUGAGGCGCGAAAGCGUGGGGAGCAAACAGGAUUAGAUACCCUGGUAGUCCACGCCGUAAACGAUGAGUGCUAAGUGUUAGGGGGUUUCCGCCCCUUAGUGCUGCAGCUAACGCAUUAAGCACUCCGCCUGGGGAGUACGGUCGCAAGACUGAAACUCAAAGGAAUUGACGGGG